rnacentral:rRNA from 1 species
GGAUACCUACGGGGCGCAGCAGUAGGGAAUCUUCGGCAAUGGGCGAAAGCCUGACCGAGCAACGCCGCGUGAAUGAAGAAGGCCUUCGGGUUGUAAAAUUCUGUUAUAAGGGAAGAAAGGUGAUAGGAGGAAAUGACUAUCAAUUGACGGUACCUUAUGAGAAAGUCAUGGCUAACUACGUGCCAGCAGCCGCGGUAAUACGUAGGUGGCAAGCGUUAUCCGGAAUUAUUGGGCGUAAAGAGCGCGCAGGUGGUUAAUUAAGUCUGAUGUGAAAGCCCACGGCUUAACUGUGGAGGGUCAUUGGU